CCGCGGUAAUUCCAGCUCCAGUAGUGUAUAUCAAAAUUGUUGCGGUUAAAACGCUCGUAGUCGGAGGAGAAAGACAAGUGGUCGUUGCGAUUCAAUCGCAGCGGCCUCGGGUCUUGUGGUCGCGGGCUCCGGUGGUGUGCUUUAAUGCUUGUGGCCGGUCGCUCGCGAAGCGUGCCUUGAAUAAAGCAGAGUGCUCAAAGCGAGCGCAACGCGUGAAUGUGAUAGCAUGGAACGAAGCAAGACGCGAGCGCGGUUUGUCGGUGAGGCUGCAGAGAUGCGGCCGUCCGGGCCUCGGCCUGGAGCCGCGCUCGGUCGGAAUCAAGAGGGCCACUUGAGGGCGUUAGUACUUGGUGGCGAGGGGUGAAAUUCUUAGACCAA
rnacentral:rRNA from 1 species